rnacentral:lncRNA from 1 species
CGGCGCGGCAGAAGCCGCCGCUCCCUGCGCGUCCCGCGGCGGUGCGGACGCCUCCUCCGGGACGGGGCUGCCCGAUCGCUCUCCGGUCCCUGCGCUCCGGCGCUGCCGCUCCCGCGCCGACGAAAGGCGGGGGAUUUCCGUUCUCCCGGCCCCGGUGGGGGAACGCGACCUGUUCGCCGGCACGCGUGGAGCCGUCCCGGGGCAGGAGCUCGGAGUUCUUCCAAAGCUCCUCGACAUUUCAUGUUCAUUCAUGCACUGCCCCGUGCCCAGUUCAUUUAACCGGCCCCCAGAUUACCCUAUUACCGCUCUCAAACUGUUUACCCGUUCAUCCACGGCUGAAGCAGAGAAAAGGGCACCUCCUGACACCAUGGACAGCGCAAGGGACAGAAUUACCCAAAGAAUAAGACAGCAAGAUCCCUUUCCAAGGAGAUUGGCACAGGUUUAUACACCUGGUCACAGGCACCUGGCACCCCUCUAACACUGCUCCCACCACUGGACAGAAGAGGCAAAAAUGGGGCUGUGAAAGUGUUCUGAUGACAUCAGUAUGCUUCCCUGGCAACAAAUACUAUAUCCUACCUACUCGUUCAUCAGUACAAUUGGGUAAAAACAGAAAAUGUGGAAAGGAGUAUGGGUGAGUACUAAAAGCUACUCCUUGAAGAGCUCCAGUGAUUCCUCAAGCAAGGUUCAGUAUUACUUCCACAUUCCCCUUGACCUCUUCAGCAACACUGAAGUACAGAGAUCUCAAUUGCUGAAUAUCAGUGGUACAAGACAGGGAUACUUCCUGCUGAACCAUACGAUGAUACUCCAAACAAGGAAUCUAUAACUAGAUUUAAUGAGAUUAGGAACCCCAAACAGGACUCCAUUGAAAGUGGGCUUAGGAGAAGAAUCCUCUCUCUGAUGCUCUGAAACACUGCAAAUGGGAGUUUUCUAGCAUAAUCAAAAUCAUCUAACAAGCCAAGAAGUGCAAAACAUAUCUUUCCACAGAGUUCUCCAUAGCAAGUUUAAAGCCUUAAUUUUUGACCUUUAAAGCACUAUGUGGUCUCUCUCUCUCUCUUUUUUUUUUUUUUUUAAAUAAAUACAAAUUAGAUAGCUACAGUAUUGAAGUUCUUUACAAAAAUCCCACUGGGUAUCUAUCUUUGAAAAUCUGGCACUAACCAAGUUUUGAGCUAAAUCCUAAGUGGCCUAGAUCCCAACCUCAGAGGAGGUUAGGCUAGCACAGAAUCCUAACCACAAAAGCAUGAGGGCAGUAAGCCAACAAUGCCAGUUUAAGCACUGCUGGCAGGACUGUGUCCCCUUACACAUCUCCCCUCUGAGCCUCAUGGCUCAGAGUGAGGCCACAAGAGUGGCAGCAGGUCUGUCUUGUCCAGUUACAGAUUCUGCACAGCAACUCAGCCAGUGUGUACUCUUGUAUUUGCUGGGCUCAGCCAGGGCUUUAAGACAGG